GGAAGAGAGGACUUGGUGAGUACCAAGUGGAAACCUGGCACAAUCCAACAUUCAUUUCAGGAGGAUGGUUCCAGCUGUGGUGUCUUUGUGAUGCUGAUGGCGAAACCGGUGGUGGAAGAGUUCCCAAAAAUUCCUGACAGCAUUAAUAUAAGGAGAUGAUGUGCCACUACAGGAAAAAUGUGGCCAAUGAAAUUUUGCUGGCAUCAGUGUGAAGAGAGGAGUACUGCUCUGUGUGUGGAGAAAAAGAAAGAGCCCAAACAGAGGAGCAAUGCAUCUGGAUUCAAUGUGAAUUAUGCCAGAGGUAGUUUCAUGUUCAGUGCCUCAACAUUAAUCUGCUACCAGAAGAACAAGCAUGGAUUUGUGAUGUGUGUUUGUAAGCUAUUUAGUUAGAGGAGCUGAUGCUGAAAGUGUGUUUCAAUUGUAAGAAAAUUGUUUUGCACUGAUAAGGGACAA